rnacentral:lncRNA from 7 species
UGGACAUCACUGAGUUCCCGUGGCUGCGCUGUAGUGUGGCCUCUGCGGGGAGAUGGUUCCUGCGUGCCCAGGGGCUGCAAAGCACAGUGGUUCUUGCUUCUGCUGGGGCUCCGCAGAGCCUGCUGUGACACCAGAGGCCUCUGUAACAAGUGAGAACUACGAGAAUUAGCUCUCUCAGCACUUCGACAAGCAAAGAUUUUUGUCUGUAAUGAGGAGAACGAGGCUUGUUUGACACAAACUACAAAACAGCAAAAAGAUGAAGAAGGAGGGCAGAAGUACGCUACUGAAGGUCUUCUGAUGGCCUCCAAAUGAACCAGUCCUGAAGCGUUCACCUUGUCCUUUGCUCUCACCCCCCUCCUGUUGGUGCUUUGACAGGCUAUGACAGAAAGCUGGUGAAACGGUCCGGUUGGAGAGGGAAAGAAGAGAGGAAAAAGCUGAGGCUGUGGGUAACGUAGGUCUUGUUUAUGCAGACUCCCACUGUUCAGACAAAGCUAUGUGCUGUUUAUUAAUAUUUCAUUUGCAUCGCAAAUGUUUACUGCUAUGGAUGGUGCUUACCUGAGCAUUAAAAUGUUAUUGAUAAC